UCCAGCGAACUUGGCAGAGAUGCCUUGGUGCCUUCGGGAACGCUGAGACAGGUGCUGCAUGGCUGUCGUCAGCUCGUGUUGUGAAAUGUUGGGUUAAGUCCGCAACGAGCGCAACCCUUAUCCUUUGUUGCCAGCGAUUCGGUCGGGAACUCAAAGGAGACUGCCGGUGAUAAACCGGAGGAAGGUGGGGAUGACGUCAAGUCAUCAUGGCCCUUACGAGUAGGGCUACACACGUGCUACAAUGGCGCAUACAAAGAGAAGCGACCUCGCGAGAGCAAGCGGACCUCAUAAAGUGCGUCGUAGUCCGGAUCGGAGUCUGCAACUCGACUCCGUGAAGUCGGAAUCGCUAGUAAUCGUGGAUCAGAAUGCCACGGUGAAUACGUUCCCGGGCCUUGUACACACCGCCCGUCACACCAUGGGAGUGGGUUGCAAAAGAAGUAGGUAGCUUAACCUUCGGGGGGGCGCUUACCACUUUGUGAUUCAUGACUGGGGUGAAGUCGUAACAAGGUAGGCGUAGCGAG
rnacentral:rRNA from 1 species